CACAGCCAAGAUCUGGACUGGAAGAGACAGAGAGAGACUCAAACCUGGAUCCGGAGCCUCUGCUGCAUGAGAAGAGAGGAGAGGGAAAAAAAAAAAACCCCACCACCACUCUCACUCACACACAUACAUACACUCUGCCGCUGUAAUGUUAUUAGAGCUACACAGCGGAUCACUCUGGUCUCUUCUGCUCUCUCUCUUUUCUCUUCAGAAAUUAAAGCAGAGCUGCAUCUGAGAGUGGAAAAGGUCCCCCUUCUGUUAUAACAUUCUUGGAUGCUGUGGAACCUGGCUGCUGCAACACUGCCUGUAUGUGAUUUAUGAAAGUGUGUGCAUACGUAUAAACAAAUCCCACCUUCUACUGCAACAGAAGACUUAUCAGUGCCAGAUUCCUAAAACAGCAUCUUGCUGCAGCUGUACAUCUUACAGGAGUGGAGCACCAGAUGGACAUUCCAGAAAUAAACAAAUAUUUUGGUUCUGGAUAAAGUUCUUGGGAAAGGCCAAGGAAGAUAGAAUAUUGGAAAAGAGACAAUGGAGUGUGAGCCAUACAAUAAAUGUUACCAUGUGGAAUGUGAACCACCUGACUAAAUCAGACGCCUCUCGAGAGGAAAAAAACGAAACAGCAAAUACCUUUAUAUCCCUUGGAGCCAUCAAAGGAAGCCUGCAACGCAUGGCAUCAGGUCCUCUCAGGUUUAAUAUCUGAUGUGUUUGCAUCUCUGAUGUGGUGAGUAAGUUAGAAUUCCUGUUACCAAAACAGAAUUUUAAUUCUUACAAUUAACAGUGCAGAGGUCACAUAGCUAUACCAUGGCCUUAUCUUAUGCCAGAUGGUGUCAGGAAGAAUAGUUGUUUCCCCCACCCCACAACAUUAGGAAAAGCAAUAACAGAUUCAAACUAAUUCCCUAUCUUUGUAAUUGGAGAGGCUAAUUUUAGGCCUUCGCUGGUAUAAGCCUACGGACUAUCCAUACACAAUCUAGUUAGUUCAAAUUCAGUCUCAACGCAUUUCCUUCAUUGUUCAUUGUUAUGUUAAUAAAUGUCUUAUUUACAAUAGUAUUUCAGGGACGACGUAAGAAAUCUGGUAAAUAACUUGAGAAUCUCCUUUUAAUUUUUUAGGAGAAAGAUUUCUAAGAGUCCUAACAAUGGGUUAGAUCAUUCCUCUACCUGUGACAAUCUGCACAGGGAACAGGGAACUUCCUUGAGGAGGUUUCUCUGGACCAUUCAAUCAGAGAGGUGUGAGUGCAUAUUUUGCUCUUUCCUCAGCUGCCCCCUUUGGAAUAUACAAGUUGCUUAGACCAGAGAAUCAGGAAAUCUCAAGAGAUCUGCCAGAGGCCAGGCAUUUCUGUGUAGAGACCAAGUGAUUCUGUGUUAAGUCCAAAGUUGACUUCAAUGAGUUACAAAGGGAUCUCACUAAACUGGUCGACUGGGCAACAAAAUUGCAGAUGAAAUUCAGUGUUGAUAUGUGUAAAGUGAUGCACACUGGAACACAUAAUCCCAACUAUCCAUACAAAAUGAUGGGUCUCCAUAAAGGUCCAUCAACGAAAGACUACUGUGGCCCCAUGCUGGAAAGGCCCUUAUUAAGUCCUGCUAACUACCAACACCGCUGUGAAGUGCCAAGGACUGACUGCCCUCCACCACAAGAUGACUUCACUUCGACUACUGAUCAGCCUGUCCCUCCUUUUGGGUUUUUUCUUUCCUCCUUUUAAACAGCAGGGGAAAGGACAAGGUGAAGUGCUAGUAACCUCUCCCUUGUCCACCGAUAGAGCUAACCUGCAUUGCACUGCUAGGGAACCUGACCUGGAAAAAGGUUCCCCAGAAGCAGACGGCAUCAGACUUUGAGGGAGCUACGCACGUUCGCCCCACCGUAAACCAGGUGAAUCAGAAGCAGAUGACAUCUGUGCUCAAGACAAAUGGACUGCCACCCCUUUGGGCGACCUGAAGCUCCGGCUGCAGCUAAAAAAACCUUGAGUUGGUGGUGUCCUCUCAGGGAAGGAUGGCCCCGUUCUCUAAGCUGGGUUCUUGUGUUUUUAAUCUGUUUGUUAUUUGUUAUCUUUUUUUUUUGGUGGCACAAAAAGUUAAGACUAUAAAAUCACACAGUUCUAACACAUUUCUACGUCUUGCCCAUAAAAUGAAAGCUCGUAUGCCAGCCCUACAAAACACUUCAUGCUGGGUGUGUUCAUUAAUGCCAGCUUAUAGCCACAAAGGUCUUCCCAUGGUUCUUAUUCCCCUUAGUGUAGUAAAUAUAACCUGGACCCCAUCCUAAAAGGAUUCUACAGGCAAUUUAAAUAUUACCUGGGCUGAUAGCGGCAUCUCUAAAAGCAGGUAUCUAAUAAUUUAAAAACAAAUUAGUCAAUGGUGCCUCUUAAAAAAAGGAAAAAUAGCUAUAGGUAAUAGUAAGUGCAAAGCCUAUUUUAAUGGCACUCAUUUUAAAAGUAAGAGAAAUAUCUCUCUCUUGAAUGGGGCAACCUCUUGCACCUCCGCGUGGCAUAGAUUUGCAGGUAACAAGUGCA